rnacentral:piRNA from 1 species
UUUUUGGCCUGACACUCCCAGCAUGAUGC